rnacentral:rRNA from 1 species
AAUAGAUACCGGUAGUCCACGCCGUAAACGAUGAGUGCUAAGUGUUAGAGGGUUUCCGCCCUUUAGUGCUGCAGCAAACGCAUUAAGCACUCCGCCUGGGGAGUACGGCCGCAAGGCUGAAACUCAAAGGAAUUGACGGGGGCCCGCACAAGCGGUGGAGCAUGUGGUUUAAUUCGAAGCAACGCGAAGAACCUUACCAGGUCUUGACAUCUCCUGACAACCCUAGAGAUAGGGCGUUCCCCCUUCGGGGGACAGGAUGACAGGUGGUGCAUGGUUGUCGUCAGCUCGUGUCGUGAGAUGUUGGGUUAAGUCCCGCAACGAGCGCAACCCUUGAUCUUAGUUGCCAGCAUUCAGUUGGGCACUCUAAGGUGACUGCCGGUGACAAACCGGAGGAAGGUGGGGAUGACGGUCAAAUCAUCAUGCCCCUUAUGACCUGGGCUACACACGUGCUACAAUGGAUGGUACAAAGGGCUGCGAGACCGCGAGGUUAAGCGAAUCCCAUAAAACCAUUCUCAGUUCGGAUUGCAGGCUGA